UUUUAUUGCACUCUGUAAUUUUAUUUCAUAUUAGUACUGAAAUAUUUUGAUGUUGCAUGCUCUUAGAAUUUUAUUUUUAAAAUAUUGGCUUCGUUUUAGUUCAGUAAACUGUUUUGACAAUUAGAAAUAGAAUAUAUUAAUUCAUUUUUAUCUACAGGUUUUUAAAAAUUUGAAAUAAUAUGAUUGUAUGUAUGGAGCAUUCAUGCCUCAUGACCCAAUUACACAAAGGAGAUUAUCUGUAGGAAGGUGAAACUUGUUCUGUUACUUCAAAUACUUAUAGACUAGCAGAGAUUUGUUCUGAUUAGAUUUCUGCAUUUUAGUGAUUAAAGAUAUUUUUGAAAUUUAGUGUUUGUAACAAAGAACAUUUGUAACAUUGAAUAUGAAAUUAUUAAUAUUGAAAAUUAUUUCAGCCAUCUGAUAACUGAAGCAGAUGAAAAAUUGGCUUGUCUUUGACCAUUUAAAGUGUAGCUGAGUGUUGUUUCCCAAGACUGAUUUUUAGGCAGUUUUUUGUGAUAUGUACCAAUGACAUAUAAAAUAAAGCACCUUUUCUACCAUAAGCAAUUACAGAUGUUAUUUAUUUUGAGUUUCAUUAAAGAAAAAUUAGUUAUGGCAGAGAAAAUAAGUAGAAGUGUUAAGUUUACGAUAUUAAUUUAAAUUAAUAUGGACAAUCCCUAAGAAUGGAUUGUGUCUGAAAAUUUGUUAUUGUAUUAUGGUUGAGAAUUACACAGAAAUGGAAGGCCUAAUUCUUGUUAUAGCUAAAUUAACAUGCUUGCAGGUAAAAGGCAACUGGCUCCAAGAACUAAUCUAGACUUGUCACCUGUCUUUUGUCUCACCUUCUGUCUUAAACCUCAUUUGGCUUUUCACCCUUUUAAAAUUCUUAGCAGCCAGGUUUCUGAUUGGCUUCUCCGUUGAAAUGGCUCUACCAGAAGUCAGAGGGUAACUUCCCAUUUUCCAAAUUUAGGGAAUUCUUUCAUCAAACAUAAUCAUGCCAUUUGAAAUUUCUAUCCAUUCCUUGGGUACUUCAUUUUUUAGUGUCUGUUCCCCUUACACUCUUUCUUAAUUUACCUCUUCCUGUCUAUCUCUCCCACUUCCACUUGUCUCCAUUCAUUUUUUAAAAUCAACCUGGUAAAGCCUUUCCUAACCUACUCUAUUUCCAGGUAGAUUUGACCCCUUUGUUUUGUACCUCCAAAUGUCCUUUGUGAAAUCUUUUGUCAGAACAGUCUAAACAUGUGUCCUUCUGUUAU